GAUGAACGCUGGCGGCGUGCCUAAUACAUGCAAGUCGAGCGAACGGACGAGAAGCUUGCUUCUCUGAUGUUAGCGGCGGACGGGUGAGUAAAACGUGGAUAACCUACCUAUAAGACUGGGAUAACUUCGGGAAACCGGAGCUAAUACCGGAUGAUAUUUUGAACCGCAUGGUUCAAAAGUGAAAGACGGUCUUGCUGUCACUUAUAGAUGGAUCCGCGCUGCAUUAGCUAGUUGGUAAGGUAACGGCUUACCAAGGCAACGAUGCAUAGCCGACCUGAGAGGGUGAUCGGCCACACGGGAACUGAGACACGGUCCAGACUCCUACGGGAGGCAGCAGUAGGGAAUCUUCCGCAAUGGGCGAAAGCCUGACGGAGCAACGCCGCGUGAGUGAUGAAGGUCUUCGGAUCGUAAAACUCUGUUAUUAGGGAAGAACAUAUGUGUAAGUAACUGUGCACAUCUUGACGGUACCUAAUCAGAAAGCCACGGCUAACUACGU
rnacentral:rRNA from 1 species